GACGAACGCUGGCGGCGUGCUUAACACAUGCAAGUCGAACGGAAAGGCCCUGCUUUUGUGGGGUGCUCGAGUGGCGAACGGGUGAGUAACACGUGAGUAACCUGCCCUUGACUUUGGGAUAACUUCAGGAAACUGGGGCUAAUACCGGAUAGGAGCUCCUGCUGCAUGGUGGGGGUUGGAAAGUUUCGGCGGUUGGGGAUGGACUCGCGGCUUAUCAGCUUGUUGGUGGGGUAGUGGCUUACCAAGGCUUUGACGGGUAGCCGGCCUGAGAGGGUGACCGGACACAUUGGGACUGAGAUACGGCACAGACUCCUACGGGAGGCAGUAGUGGGGAAUAUUGCACAAUGGGCGGAAGCCUGAUGCAGCAACGCCGCGUGCGGGAUGACGGCCUUCGGGUUGUAAACCGCUUUCGCCUGUGACGAAGCGUGAGUGACGGUAAUGGGUAAAGAAGCACCGGCUAACUACGUG
rnacentral:rRNA from 1 species